rnacentral:misc_RNA from 1 species
GAUGAAGAACGCAGCGAAAUGCGAUAAGUAAUGUGAAUUGCAGAUUUCAGUGAAUCAUCGAAUCUUUGAACGCACCUUGCGCCUUGUGGUAUUCCACAAGGCAUGCCCGUUUGAGUAUCAUUAAAUCAUCAACUCUAAAACCUUUGUGGUUUUUUUAGAGCUUGGUCUUGAGGGUUUUGCAGGCUUUUUUUUUUUCGAGUCUGCUCCCUUUAAAUGCAUUAGCGAGAUUUCCCUAUGCUGAACCGUCUCUUUGACGUGAUAAUUAUCUGCGUCGAAUUUUGGUUCUCGUUGGGCUUGCUUCUAAUCGUCUGUUAAAGACAAAACGGAUUUGGGUGCAUAUAUGCGCCUUUUUCCAAAACCUUUUUUGAUCUCAAAUCGGGUAGGACUACCCGCUGAACUUAAGCAUAUCAAUAAGCGGAGGA